UACGUAGGGGGCAAGCGUUGUCCGGAUUUAUUGGGCGUAAAGAGCGUGUAGGCGGCCUGACAGGUCUGCUGUGAAAACUCGAGGCUCAACCUCGAGAUGUCGGCGGAAACCGUCUGGCUAGAGUCCGGAAGAGGGGAGUGGAAUUCCUGGUGUAGCGGUGAAAUGCGCAGAUAUCAGGAAGAACACCUAUGGCGAAGGCAGCUCUCUGGGACGGUACUGACGCUGAGACGCGAAAGCGUGGGGAGCGAACAGG
rnacentral:rRNA from 1 species